GACGAACGCUGGCGGCGUGCCUAAUACAUGCAAGUAGGAGCAAGUUGCGAACGGGUGAGUAACGCGUAGGUAACUACCUAUGAGAGGGGGAUAACUAUUGGAACCGAUAGCUAAUAACGCAUACCAGUAGCUGGACCUGCGUUGUAUUAGCAAGUAGGUAGGGUACUGGCCUACCUAGGCAAAGAUAAAUAGCCGACCUGAGGGGGUGAUCGGCAAAACGGGGACUGAGACACGGCCCAGACUCCUACGGGAGGCAGCAGUGGGGAAGAUUGCACAAUGGGCGCAAGCCUGAUGCAGCCAUGCCGCGUGUAUUAAGAAGGCCUUCGGGUUGUAAAGUACUUUCAGCGAGGAGCGUUACUCGCAGAAGAAGCACCGGCUAACUCCGUGCCAGCAGCCGCGGUAAUAC
rnacentral:rRNA from 1 species